CAGUCUGGAGACACCCGCGCCGCCGCGGGGGCCGAAGGGGCAAGACAUGUUCGAGACUCUCAGGCAAAAGGACAGAUGGA
rnacentral:ncRNA from 1 species